rnacentral:rRNA from 1 species
UACGUAGGGGGCAAGCGUUGUCCGGAAUCAUUGGGCGUAAAGCGCGCGUAGGCGGCCCGGUAAGUCCGCUGUGAAAGUCGGGGGCUCAACCCUCGAAUGCCGGUGGAUACUGUCGGGCUAGAGUGCGGAAGAGGCGAGUGGAAUUCCUGGUGUAGCGGUGAAAUGCGCAGAUAUCAGGAGGAACACCAAUUGCGAAGGCAGCUCGCUGGGACGUAACUGACGCUGAGACGCGAAAGCGUGGGGAGCAAACAGA